rnacentral:rRNA from 1 species
GAUGAAUGCUAGCGACAGGCCUAACACAUGCAAGUCGAGGGGCAGCACAUGAGUAGCAAUACGAUGGUGGCGACCGGCGCACGGGUGAGUAACACGUAUGCAACCUGCCUUCUACUAUGGGAUAACCCGUUGAAAGACGGACUAAUACCGUAUAAUACAGGGGCUCCGCAUGGAGAUAUUUGUUAAAGAUUUAUUGGUAGAAGAUGGGCAUGCGUAUGAUUAGAUAGUUGGUGAGGUAACGGCUCACCAAGUCAACGAUCAUGAGGGGUUCUGAGACGGAGGACCGCACAACUGGUACUAGGACACGGACCAGACUCCUACGGGAGGCAGCAGUGAGGAAUAUUGGUCAAUGGACGAGAGUCUGAACCAGCCAAGUCGCGUGAAGGAAGACGGUUCUAUGAAUUGUAAACUUCUUUUGUGCAGGAAUAAAGUGGGUUACGUGUAACCUUUUGUAUGUACUGUACGAAUAAGGAUCGGCUAACUCCGUGCCAGCAGCCGCGGUAA